CAACACAAGAACCCGAAAAGAAUUAGGCGAAAUCGGGUGUAUUCCGCCAUUGGUGAGACUCACAGAAGGUAAAUCCGUGGAAGAGAAAGAAGCAGCUGCAAGUGCAUUGUCAAUUUUGAUGAUUUACGCUGGAAAUCGAAAGAUUUUCAGGAAGGAAGAAAGGGGUAUUGUGAAUGCAGUUCAGCUAUUAGAUCCUGUGGUACAAAACUUAGACAAAAGACACCCUGUUUCGUUAUUGGCUUCGCUUGUUUACUCCAAGAAUUGCCGGAAACAAAUGGUGGCUUCCGGGGCUUGUGUGCAUUUACAGAAGCUAGCUGAGAUGGAGAUUGAAGGAGCUAAAAAGCUCUUGGAUUGUCUUAGUAGAGGCAAACUAUGGGGAGUUUUCACCAGACAUUGAGCAGCAACAACACUAAAAACAACACAAGG
rnacentral:misc_RNA from 1 species